CUCUUUCUCUCUCUCUGUGGCAGAGCUGAGAAAGAGGCAGGCAGGCACAGCCCUCUGAGCACAGUCAGUGGAUCGCCUAAGAGCUCACUAUUGAUCCGGGAGGGAGGGACAGUCAGUCAGAAACAUACAGACAGACUUGUUCUACUAAAGAGCUCCAACUCAUUACCUCAGCACCCCCACUAUACAGCCACAUCAGUAGCAUCACCUCUAUUUGUUGCUGUUUCAUGAGCACAAGGAUUUUACGAAUGGGGUUACUAUCCCCAUGCCCAACCCUUCACCAUUACUGCUUUCUGGGGGUGCCGUUCAGGAAUUGAACCCUGUGUCGCAAGAGUAAGCAGUGACUAUUACAUCACUGCUAUAAUAUAAUGCAACAUGUCACUGCACAUUGACAACACACAGAGGUAUUAACACUAAAUCCCAGAGGUAUUAACACUAAAUCCCAGAGGUAUUAACACUAAAUCCCAGAGGUAUUAACACUAAAUCCCAGAGGUAUUAACACUAAAGCCCAGAGGUAUUAACACUAAAGCCCAGAGGUAUUAACACUAAAGCCCAGAGGUAUUAACACUAAAGCCCAGAGGUAAUAACACUAAAGCCCAGAGGUAUUAACACUAAAGCCCAGAGGUAUUAACACUAAAGCCCAGAGGUAUUAACACUAAAGCCCAGAGGUAUUAACACUAAAGCCCAGAGGUAUUAACACUAAAUCCAAGAGGUAAUAACACUACAGUAAAGCCCAGAGGUAUUAACACUAAGGUAAAGCCCAGGAGGUGGUGUGCUGUCUACAGCAGCAAGAAAAUGACAUGUGCCUAAUGGUGUGUCGAUUCCUCAGCCAGUUCCAGUGAUUGUAGAGCUACUGCUGGCUGUCAUUACUGUCAUUACAGAGAGUGAAUGACAGCUCUGUCUGUCUCCUGCCGUGUGACGUUAGCAGGCUCUGGGCCAUGCCAUCCGCAGCGGGAAUGGUGAACUGACGCCACGCCACAAACUACACACUGCUUCCUGUCAGGCCCGACACCGAGUCAGACAACACUUCCUGUCUUCUUACUGCUCUCUCUCUCUCCCCCAAUUGGCCGAAAGACAACAAUCCUCCAAAAACGUGUGGUGCUGCACAUGAAUAAUACUGAAGAAUGUGUUUUUUUUGCAUAACAUGCAGCUUUUGAUUGCAACAUCGUAGAUCAGUUCUCAUCAUUCAGUUGAAUUGGUUAUGUGUGUGUAGACACCCAAACUCUG
rnacentral:lncRNA from 1 species